CGUGAAGCUCCUGGCUCAACUGGGAGAGGCCGUUCUAAACUACAGAACUAGAGGAUGGUAGAGGGAGGUGGAAUUCCAGGUGUAGCGGUGGAAUGCGCAGAUAUCUGGAGGAACACCGGUGGCGAAGGCAGCCUCCUGGACCAUUCCUGACACUCAGACGCGAAAGCUAGGGUAGCAAACGGGAUUAGAGACCCCGGUAGUCCUAGCCCUAAACGAUGUAGACUAGGCGUCGGAAGCUUAAUCGCUUUCGGUGUCCAAGCUAACGCGAUAAGUCUACCGCCUGGGGACUACGGCCGCAAGGUUAAAACUCAAAGGAAUUGACGGGUCCCCGCACAAGCAGCGGAGCGUGUGGUUUAAUUCGUUGCUACACGAAGAACCUUACCUGGGUUUGACAUAGCAGUGGUAGGGAAGCGAAAGCGGACCGACCCUUCGGGGAGCUGUUACAGGUGUUGCAUGGCUGUCGUCAGCUCGUGUCGUGAGAUGUUCGGUUAAGUCCGCUAACGAGCGCAACCCGCGUUGUGUGUUACAAGUGUCACACAAUACCGCCGGUAUUAAGUCGGAGGAAGGUGCGGAUGACGUCAAGUCAGCAUGACCUUUAUAUCCAGGGCUACACACACGCUACAAUGGUCAGCACAAUAGGUUGCCAAGUCGUGAGACGGAGCCAAUCCUCCAAAGCUGGCCUCAGUUCAGAUUGCAGGCUGCAACUCGCCUGCAUGAAGUUGGAGUUGCUAGUAACCGCAGGUCAGCUAUACUGCGGUGAAUACGUUCCCGGGGAUUGUACACACCGCCCGU
rnacentral:rRNA from 1 species